AACAGAUUGGGAGGAGCAGUGCAGCACUGUGUGACUCACGCUGCGAAUGAGGGGAAAAGGAGAGGUGGAGAGAGAACGAACCCGGAGUCACACGAAAUGCAGUCAGAUUGAGCUGUCUGACGCGAACGUUUCAGCACAUGCAAGGGAGCUUCGUGGAGGAUCUUAUUUCCCCCUCCUUGAGUCUGGGCUGGCCAUGUGGCUGUUCAACAACAGAAAGCAGAAGAAGUGUACUGUGCCGUCCGGGGCCCAGGCUUUUAGAGAACUGUGGCUUUCUCUGCCUUCUUCUUGGAAUCCGGUUACCAUGUUGAGAGGGGCCCAAGCCACAUAGAGGCCAACAGCCAAGUAUUUGCAGCCAUCUGGGUGAGCCAUGUAGGACAUCCCACACCAAUAAGACCCCCUGAAUUGGAGCAGUGGAGCAGACGUGGAGCAGACGCAGCCCAGCGAAGGCCAGUAUCACAGGCCCGAACAAAAUGUUUUAAGCCAUUAAAUUUUGGUGUGGCUUGCUCUGCAGCCAGAGAUAACUGAAAUAGGUGUAACCAAAGAGUCUGUAAGAAGGAAGAUUUACCUUGCUAACCAAUGCAGAAUAACAAAGCACAUGAAAUAACAUUUGCUGAGUCAGAAGACCACUGUCUAGAACAGGUGAUUACAUCCUUAGCCUUUAGUAGGUUUUGACUUCAAAACUGACCCCAGCUUUCAAGCCUCUUUUUGAUGCUCAACACGGACAAUUUCAAAAAGAAAAAAUUUCACUUUAAUCCAGCCUCACCCCCACAUGUGUGUUUCACACAGACCGUCUUUUUUAAACAGAGUUUAUUGUAUUUAAUCCAUUAUAAAAUUUGAAAAAUUGUAGGAAAGCAGCAGACUUGAACUGGAGCAAUUCUAACAAGGAAUAAUUCUGGCCCCUUGGCAAAACUGAUCAGUUUUAAAA